GGAUGUGAGGGCGAUCUGGCUACGACAUCUGUCACCCCAUUGACUGGCUAAUCUGGCUGCCUAGGCGGGUGUCCCCUUCCUCCCUCACCAACCCAUGUGCACCCCUCCCGAAGCUGCAUGUUCAGUCGAAGAGGAUGGCCUUCCCCGGAUAGAGAUGGACCCGUCUUGGAUGGAGGGUAUAUGAGUAGCUGCGCUCCCCUGCUAGAAACUCCAAACAAGCUCCCAAGUGAGAGUGACACCAGAGCACUCUUCAGCUCUGCCUUACGGUGAUGCUGGGGAUUGAACCUGGGACCUA
rnacentral:snRNA from 1 species